rnacentral:rRNA from 1 species
GAUGAACGCUGGCGGCAUGCCUAAUACAUGCAAGUCGAACGAGAGGAAGGAAAGCUUGCUUUUCUGAAUCUAGUGGCGAACGGGUGAGUAACACGUAGGUAACCUGCCCAUGUGCCCGGGAUAACUUCUGGAAACGGAUGCUAAAACCGGAUAGGUAGCAGACAAGCAUUUGACUGCUAUUAAAGUGGCUAAGGCCAUGAACAUGGAUGGACCUGCGGUGCAUUAGCUAGUUGGUGAGGUAACUGCCCACCAAGGCGACGAUGCAUAGCCGACCUGAGAGGGCGGACGGACACAUUGGGACGGAGACACGGCCCAAACUCCUACGGGAGGCAGCAGUAGGGAAUUUUCGUCAAUGGGGGGAACCCUGAACGAGCAAUGCCGCGUGAGUGAGGAAGGUCUUCGGAUCGUAAAGCUCUGUUGUAAGAGAAAAACGACAUUCAUAGGGAAUGAUGAGUGAGUGAUGGUAUCUUACCAGAAAGUCACGGCUAACUACGUGCCAGCAGCCGCGGUAAUAC